AUGCGCAUGAGGGGUCAUAGUGCCCACGACUGGCCGUGCGACGAGCGGUAUGAGCCAUACUUCGAGAGAUUGGGCCUUCUCCCGUUCGUGCUUCAGUUCAAGCGACACGCUCCGUCGAUCAACCAUGGGGCGAUGACCGCACUUAUUGACCGUUGGAGGCCAGAGACACACUCGUUCCACUUGUCAUGUGGAGUGAUGACCGUGACCUUGGAGGACAUGGCGAUGAUCAGUGGCCUUCCAAUCAAUGGAGAAGCUUUGACCGGCACCACCGUAAGUGCUAAUUGGCGAGAUCGUGUUGGCCAAUUGACAGGUGUUUUCCCCGAGCCUCCUGAAGAAGGCGAGCGUGACAGUGAGAAAGUGUUGCAUCAUUGGCUCCGAGGGGAGAGAGGAGUAGUAUGCCCUCCGGACGCCAAUGAGGUUGUUGUGCAGCAGCACGCCCGAGCAUAUCUGUGGUAUCUGUUAACGAGGGUAGUGUUUCCAGAUUCUACCGGUAAUAAAGCCCAGUGGAUAUUCUUGGACCUACUAAGUGACUGGGACCAUAAGUACAGUUGGGGUUCAGGAGCACUAGCAUACUUAUAUCGUCAGCUCGACGAGGCAUGUCGUAGGAAGAAGGGCACAUCUGGUAUGGGUGGCUUUGUUUGGUGCCUUCAGGUUUGGAUGUGGGAGCGGAUGCCCGUUGGACGCCCCGAGAAAAACAAGACACCUCCUGAAGGAUGGGUCGCACAUGACGGGAGGUAUGGAGAAGAUCCUUGGCGGUUUCCGACCAUCGCCUACUGUUGGGAGAUGGCGAAUGUGUACACAGGCAGCUCGGUUGCGCGAUACAAAUGCUACAUCAACGAGCUGGAUAUGUUGACUCAUAAGUAG
rnacentral:rRNA from 1 species